GAGAUGAUAGAAGUUUUUAUGUAGUCAGCACUUAGGAACAGAUUAAUUGCAUGUUGCUAAGAUAUUAAACAGGCCUUUUCUGAAAAAAGAUAGGGAAGGUCGGCAUACCAAUUACAUCCCUAUAUCAUCUUUUACAAGUACAACAUGUAUUUUUGUGCAUGCAUAUGCCUUGUUAUGAAUGCACACUUGUUAUGAAUGUACUAUUUGUCUAAUCCUGCAUUGUCUUUUAAUUCUAUCAUGGUUAAUGCAUUCUUAUAAUAUUUUAUACAUCCAUUAAUAGGAGGUAUGUUGGGAUAAACUCGCACACAAACACAAAUAAUAAUGCCACUGGUACAAAUGGAUACCAGAAUCGUACCUUCAACGCAGAACGAAAGAAAAAAUAUAGGGA
rnacentral:lncRNA from 1 species